ACAUCAGAGGAGCUGUCAUAAACACCUCAUGUUGAUUCCACCCGUAAUCCGCGCAGAUGACAACCGGUGCAGUUUAAAAGGAAAACUUAAUACAUUUCACGAUUAUUUAUGAAUUUUACUUUGUAAUGUAUUUGGAAGUUUUUGAUAAGACUUGCGAGGGAAAAAUAAUUUUAGGUGUGUACGUGGGAUACAUUUAUCGCAUCAUAUAGAUAGGCCCAAUUUGCUCUUUAAGUAGGCACCUAAUAAAGGCUACCGGCUCUUAAUACCCAUUCUGAGGAGUGAAAAUAACAACGCGAUUCUAGUUAUGUUUGCUCCAAGUCGUUUGGCUCCUAUCAACAUAAUUAACUGACUUAUUCACAAAUUGGAAUUAAAUAAGUACCUAGACAAAUAUAUGUUAACGGCACCAAAAUUUUGAGUAUUUUUGAUAUUUUACCGACACCUGUAAAAUUUCUACCGCUUUACGCUUAAAAAGUUGAAUGUCCAAUUCGUCCUUUACGUUUUCUAUGUAUUUAAUGAAAGUUACUGCAAUUGGUUUUAAUAUUAUUAACCAAUUAAACCUGUGGUUUUUUUGCUCGCCACUUAUUUUCAAUGUAACAAAUAUCAAUGAAUAAUUAAACUUAAGCAGCUCUUUUGCUCUUGUUUAUGGUAAAAUGUUGCCAGCGUUUAAAAACUGAUGGUAAAUACUUGUUUUACAGGAUUUAUCUAACCAUCCCAUUACUGGUGCGUUCCAUUAUAGGAGUGUUUACUAUAGGAAAACUACUACCAAAAUUUGCUUCCCACUAAAAAGCUUCUAUUACUAAAUUAUUCCCUUAAAAUUAACCCUUCAACAACUAUUUGUGACGUUCUAAUGAAAUCAAAUUUCUCCCACAGGGGCUUUCUCGGGUGUGACACACAUACAAACAGCUCUCCCACAAUCACGUAAGUAUUUACCAUGUUUUUCGAAUCUCCGUUCCUAUCUUCCUAUAUCGAGCUCGGUCGUGACUUGCAUGGAUUCCGGCUUAUUAGAUAUAUUUAGUGGGAGUUGGACUCUCUGAAUGUAGAUUAAAACACGCAUUUCCAUAAUGUCUCAGACAAAGCGACGCCCCGCUUAAGUCCUCUCUGGAGUAUCUUUUGGUGGGAUUGAAGAAAUUCGAUUGAAUUGGAAAUCGUUUCUAAACGAAUAAGUUUGGAAGCGAAUGGAAAAAUAGUAACGACCGAUCUGGCCUAUUGGAUAAUGGCCCUGCCUAUGAAGCCGAUGGUCCUGGGUUCGAAUCCUGGUAAGGUCAUGUAUUUGUGUGAUAAGCACAGAUAUUUGUUCCUGAGUCAUGGAUGUUUUCUAUGUAAAUAUGUAUUCAAGUAUUUGUAUAUUAUAUAUGUCAUUGUCCUGAGUACCCACAACGCAAGCCUAGUUGAGCUUAUCCAAGGACUUAGUCAAUUUGUGUAAGAAUGUCACAAUAUAAUAUUAAAAAAAUGCACUGAAAUAAAUGUUUACUUAGGUACCUUACACUUACACAAAAAUUGGGACUAAUAUGUGUUUCACCAGCCAACUGGUCUGUUUGUAACAAAAAAAUCGGUUUUAGGAUAUUGAUCAAAAUUUGUUUCUCUAUUACUUUCCUCUUAAGUCCAGGUAUUUUUUGAAUUACUCAAUAAGUUCUGCUAAUUAUUUUUUCAGUGUGGGCUGGUUUUAUACAAAUCACACUGUAAUGAUAUACGAGUUCAUUUGAGAUGAAAAUCGCUUUAGGACUGAGAGAAACCUACAAAAUUAAAUACACAAAUUUGUUAUGAGACCACAAUUGAAAGCAGGUAUUCUGAUUUAAAUAUAAAAGUAUUUGUAUCGGUUAACAUGAUAAUGUAAUGCCAAAGACAUUGGGUAACAUAACAUGCACAUAAAUAAAAAUAAAGACAAUUCAGAACCUCUCAACGUUAUCAUGAAACCAGACAAACUGCAAACAACAAACAACUGCAACAACUGAAAUUCUCAAACAAAUGACUGUUGUCUACAUGCAUAAUACAUUUCAACAUUCCAAAAAGGUACUCAAAAUUAGUACCAAGAAAUAAAUACUAGCUUGUUUUAUACGUCUUUGUGCCAAAACUGCUCUCUCGUUUAUUGCCCGUACCAGGGGACCAGGAGAUGGAGGAACAAAGGUAUUUAUCUAAACAGCUGGAGUUUGCGGUUGCAUUCACCUGCAGGCUUUAGACUAGUUGAGCUGAAGGUAUUGUGCAGAUACAUGUGUCGGCUCGGUUCCAACAACACUCGUAAAUUAUAGGCUACAUGUAGACUAAGUGAUGAGCGGCGGCGAGUAUGUGUUGGAAUUUAUUUGUGCCAGACAACAAUUAUGAUAUAUUAGUAGGAUAUUUCAUGAGGAAUGAGGAUGCAGGAUAAAUGAUAAAAAUAGUACCUAUUGUGUAAUAUUGUCUUUGGUUACCGCGAUAGUGAUUCAUGAAAUAAAACUAUUUAGACCGAUAAUAUGACGUAUCUUUAAAAUAUGUACUUAAAUCCCGACGUUUUGAACCCUUUACAGCGUUCGUGGUCAACGGAUGACGGGGUAUACGCGAUAUAAACCGUCUAAAUGUGAAAUCUCGAUAAUCCGGCACUUCGAUGGUCCGGUGUACCCAGUAAUCCAGCGCUAAAAUUGGGGUACAAAUGAUCAUUCUGUCCGAUUUUACUAUGUUUGCAUACAUUAUCGCACUUCAAUAUCUUUAUAAAUGGCUAAGUUCCAGAUAACAGUACGAUUUUCUUUGAAUUUACUAUUUUGGUUAAAUGUAUUUCUACGACAUACUAAAAAAACACAUCAAAAUCAUAUGCAGAUAUGCUCUAACUUCCAGUAUUUUCAAGUAAUCCGUCUCUCUUGUGUCAACAUUAGUGCCGGAUUAGUGAGAUUGUACUGUAGUUUUUUUUUGUCGUAUUGGUAACUUGAAUUAAGUACUUGCUGCAUUUUUUCCCUUAAAUCAUCAACUAGGUACGAGUAUGUAGGUAGGUAUUAUAUGAUGGGCUCUUUGAUAUUUCUAAAUGUCUGGACUCUGAACAAAUGAAUUCGAUACUAAGUAUAGCAACACAAUAUUAGAUGUAUUACCUAUUUUUACUAUAUUUCCUUACAUUAUACCAAUUAUUAAGGGCUCAUCUGUUAUUCUUUAUUCCUCAGGUUGCAGAUAAAACUGUGUCUUGCGGUUCGAGACAUGCUCACAUCUCAACCUGACGUCUUCAAAAGGAAGACAGAAAAUAAUCCAUUGCGAUUGUUGUUAGAUACAAUGGAGUCGUGACGAAAGCAGUAUGAAGAAACAGAAGCAUAUCACUGCGGAAGAAGGUAGCAGCGCUCAACUAUAGCGGGGGUUUAAGAAAGAUUAUCCAAACUCCACAUAUCAGUGCAACAAUGUUGCAUUUCGUGGACGGGUCGUGUUUAUACGCAGACUAACGACCAUUUCUGUCUCUUGGGCUUAAUUAAAUUGAAAAAUUUAUGAAAGUAUACGAGUGCUUCGGGCGUUUGGCUGCAGUUUUUGCGGUACUUAUUACGUUUGGAGACGACCAAUGAGUGAGAUAAAGCUUUGAUGUACAGAAAUACUUGAACCUACUGAUCUCAUAUAUUGUGGCUAUUUAUUAUAAGUGGAAUCAAUUUAGCGUCACCUUCAGUAUGUUGGUACGCGAGCGUCGAGAGUCGAUGUACCUACGACUCAUUUACUCUUUUUAUUUCCAACGUUGCUUGUAGUGCACACACGUGUGCUUUCAUGGUCUAAGAAUAUUGUAACCUUUGAAACUUUUGUAUUUACUUUUAGAAUAGGUACCUAUUAACUUUUUUUACUGCGGAAUAUUGUUUAAAUAUGCAACAAACGUUUGUGUUUUGUAUAUCACAUGCAACUAAAAUAGUUUGUUUUAGUAGAAUGAUUUCUUGUCGUUAAUGACCUUUUAAGUAAGAAAAAUAUUACAAAAAAAUUCAACAACGAUCUUUAAGGUCUACCUGUACUAGUAACCAUACUGUAACUGUAUUCCAAAUAAAACAUUCACCUUGU